rnacentral:rRNA from 1 species
UACAGAGGUCUCAAGCGUUGUUCGGAUUCAUUGGGCGUAAAGGGUGCGUAGGCGGCGCGGUAAGUCGGGUGUGAAAUCUUGGAGCUUAACUCCGAAACUGCAUUCGAUACUGCCGUGCUUGAGGACUGGAGAGGAGACUGGAAUUUACGGUGUAGCGGUGAAAUGCGUAGAUAUCGUAAGGAAGACUAGUGGCGAAGGCGGGUCUCUGGACAGUUCCUGACGCUGAGGCACGAAGGCCAGGGGAGCAAACGGG